rnacentral:lncRNA from 1 species
UCAAGACAGCCCUGGGACCACAUUACUGUGGGUCAAUUUUGUAAUAAGGAUCUUGGAAAGGGUUAGAAAUGUAAUCCCACUUUGAAAGCGACAUCUUGAAUAGGGGUCAAGUUACUGUCUUAUACGGGAUAUGCCCGGGAUGUAGUUGUUAGGUAUGGGUAUAAUGGGUAUGUGGAAAUGUAACUUUAUGGCCCUAAAAAGGGAGGUGAACCGUCCCCCUAAGACGGGUACUAUUCAUUGAUAGGAUAGCUUCUGUUACAUUUGCUCGAAUCAUUAUUGUCUUCGUACAUUGCUUCACCUUGCCUAGUGUUUGAUCGAGACCCAACACGGGUAAAUCUCAUGAAUCAGCUACAGCUAC